UCCUGUUCGACAGAUGAAGAUGCACUCAGUCUCCUACACAGGUUGGAAGGUGACCCAGGUCUCAAACUCCAGCCUCCUGACCCUAUGUGGAUAUUCUUUCUGCUGGAGGCAGACUCAGAAUCCUUCUCCACACAGUGCUUCAGGCAGCCCCGGCCAGUCAACGUGAGUAGGCAGAGGAAUUCAGUUCAAGUAUUUAUUAAGCACCUGCUCUGUGCCAGGCUCUGUUCGAUGGAGGGGACACAGUGAUGCACAAGACAAAGUCCUGCUUUUAUGACGCGUAAUAUGUCUGGUUGGGUAAGAUCGACAGACAGGUAAUAGAUAAAUAAGAAAAUAGCAGACAGGGACGAGUGCUAGGCGAGGAGCAUCAAGAGGGCGAUGUGGUCAGGGAAGACCUCUCUGAAGAGGAGACGGGUAAGCUGACACUUGUUUUGAGAUGACGGUCACCCUUCAGUUGUGAAGGAAAAUUUCUGAAAAUUUAGUCCUGUUGGGGCUGGGGCUGGGGCUGGAGUAGGAGGAGAGUGCAAUUCAGGGGGAAAAAUCAAGCAAACUUACAAGGUGUACCGGUUAAUAAUGCGGAUUUGUUUCAAAGAUGGAGUUACACAUAUGUUGAUAUAUAUGCGAUUUGAUAUGUAUGCUAUUUUGUUGUAUUGACAACAAGCUCAAAACUUCAUAUGUCAAAUUUUCUGAAGGUGUUAACAUCAUAGAUGUUUUUACACUUACUAAUGUCAAAAUGUCGAAUUUCAUGCCAAAAAAAAAGAGCAUUUGAGGGAAGUUUUAAUUCAUUACUUUAUUUUGAAGAAAAUGAAAGUUAUUAUAUACUUCGGGAAGCUUAUGGUGAACAUGCUCCAUCUCAAGAUACUCGUGAACGCUGGUUUAAACGCUCUAAAAGUGAUGAUUUCGAUGUGAAAGACAAAGAACGUCCAGGUCAACCAAAGAAGUUUGAAGACCAACAAUUACAAGCAUUAUUGUAUGAAGAUGCGUGUCAAACUCAAAAACAACUUGCAGAAAGAUUAAACGUUGCUCAGCAAACAAUUUCUGAUCGUUUACAAGCAUUGGGUAGAUUUUAAAGGAAGGACAAUGGGUGCCACAUCAACUGAACGAAAGACAAAUGGAAAACCAAAAAGUCAUCAGUAAAAUGUUGCUUCAACAGCACGAAAGAAAGUCUUUUUUGCAUUGAAUUGUGACUGGCAAUUAAAAGUGGAUUUAUUUUGAGAAUCCCAAAUGCACAGAAUCAUGGGUUGAUCCAGGUCAACCAUCAACAUCGACUGCAAGGCCAAAUCGCUUCGGAAAGAAGACAAUGCUCUGCGUUUGGUGGGAUCAGGAAGGUGUGGUGUAUUAUGAGCUUCUUAAACCAGGUGAAACCGUUAAUAGUGAUCACUACUGACAACAAAUAAUUUGAACCACGCUUUGAUCAUAAAAUGGCCAAAAUGGGCCAGAAGAUACGGCAAAGUAAUUUUGCUUCAUGACGAUGCACCAUCACACACUUCAAAAGGGGUUAAAGACACGUUAAAAGAUCUUGCCUGGGAAGUAUGAACCCACCCGCUGUAUUCACCUGACUUUGCUCCUUCAGACUACCACUUGUUCUGAUCGAUGGCGCCCGCACUUUCUGAGCAGCACUUCAAAACGUAUGAAGAAGUGGAAAAUUGGGUCUCUGAAUGGGUUGCCUCAAAACAAGAAAAGUUAUAUUGGGACGGUAUCCACAAAUUACCGGAAAGAUGGGGGACAUGUGUAGCUAGUGAUGGACAUUACUUUGAAUAAAGCACUUUAAAUGUUCCUCUUGAAAUUAUCGUGUUUUCUUUGAUUACAAAAUCCUCACUGUUAACUGGGAAAGGCAGGGAACUCCCAGCCAAGC